GCUUACGGGCCAUACCACCCUGAACACGCCCGAUCUCGUCCGAUCUCGGAAGCUAAGCAGGGUCGGGCCUGGUUAGUACUUGGAUGGGAGACCGCCUGGGAAUACCAGGUGCUGUAAGCU
rnacentral:rRNA from 1 species